UGAAUGGGCCGAAGACGCUGGAAAUUACGGGCUUCGCUGGCGUGCGACUUCGCUUGACUCGAUGGCUGGGCGCAUGGACUUCAGCUGACCGAAGACACACGCAAGAGGAGAAAUGGGCGGACUGACUACUGCAGGCUUCGCUGGCUUCAAUUGGCGCGACAAAGAGGAGAAGCAGCUUCGCUCGGUGGUCUUCAACUCGGCUUUGUUGACCGAACAAAGAG
rnacentral:lncRNA from 1 species